CGAAAUUUAGAAACUACCGUUGGAUCGAGAAAUGGACGUUCGAGAUUCGUGCACGUCACCAUGAGUUAAAAUUAACUCGCAGAUUCACUCAUGAGUUAAAAUUUUACUUGGAGUUAAAUUUAACUCACGGUGAUGUGGACGAAUCUCGGACGUCCAUUUCUCGAUCCAACGGUAGUUUCUAAGUUUCC
rnacentral:pre_miRNA from 1 species